UUGCCUUAAACUACUGAGUAAGGAAAACAAAGUGAGUGGUGAGAGCCGCGCAAAACACAAGAUUUGUGCGCAUGAAUUUAUGGAGGGGUUAUAGGCUGGCCAAGCUUUGAUGCUGCUUACUUUUGCAGAACUCGCUUGAGCGGGCCUCCC